rnacentral:misc_RNA from 1 species
GAUGAAGAACGUAGCGAAAUGCGAUAAGUAAUGUGAAUUGCAGAAUUCAGUGAAUCAUCGAAUCUUUGAACGCACAUUGCGCCCGCCAGUAUUCUGGCGGGCAUGCCUGUUCGAGCGUCAUUACAACCCUCAGGCCCCCGGGCCUGGCGUUGGGGAUCGGCGGAAGCCCCCUGCGGGCACAACGCCGUCCCCCAAAUACAGUGGCGGUCCCGCCGCAGCUUCCAUUGCGUAGUAGCUAACACCUCGCAACUGGAGAGCGGCGCGGCCACGCCGUAAAACAACCAACUUCUGAAUGUUGACCUCGAAUCAGGUAGGAAUACCCGCUGAACUUAAGCAUAUCAAUAAGCGGAGGA